rnacentral:rRNA from 1 species
GCAAGUCGAACGCGAAAGCCCUUUCGGGGGCAAGUAGAGUGGCGCACGGGUGAGUAACGCGUAGAUAACCUACCUUUAAGUCUGGGACAACUUCCUGAAAAGGAAGCUAAUACCGGAUAACAAUUUUAAUCUAGUGAUUGAAAUUUGAAAGACUUCGGUUGCUUUGGAGAUGGGUCUGCGUGACAUUAGCUUGUUGGUGGGGUAAUUGCCUACCAGGGCGACGAUGUCUAGUGGGUCUGAGAGGAUGGCCCGCCACACUGGAACUGAGACACGGUCCAGACUCCUACGGGAGGCAGCAGUUAGGAAUCUUGCGCAAUGGGCGAAAGCCUGACGCAGCAAUACCGCGUGAAUGAAGAAGGCCCUUGGGUCGUAAAGUUCUUUUAUAGGGGAAGAUAAUGACGGUACCCUAUGAAUAAGCACCGGCUAACUUCGUGCCAGCAGCCGCGGUAAUACGAAGGGUGCGAGCGUUGUUCGGAUUUACUGGGCGUAAAGAGCAAGUAGGCUGUUUUUUAAGCAGAGGAUGAAAUCCCGAGGCUCAACCUCGGAACUGCUCUCUGAACUGGAAAACUAGAGAAAGAUAGAGGUAAGCGGAAUUCUUGGUGUAGAGGUGGAAUUCGUAGAUACCAAGAGGAACACCGGCGGCGAAAGCGGCUUACUGGAUCUUCUCUGACGCUGAGAGGCGAAAGCGUGGGUAGCAAACAGGAUUAGAUACCCUGGUAGUCCACGCCGUAAACGAUGAGUAUCAGCCGUUUGGAGUUUUACUCUAAGUGGUGCAGCUAACGCUUUGAAUACUCCGCCUGGGGAGUACGGUCGCAAGACUAAAACUCAAAGGAAUUGACGGGGACCCGCACAAGCGGUGGAGCAUGUGGUUUAAUUCGAUGCAACGCGAAGAACCUUACCUAGAUUUGACAUCCCUUGACAACCUUAGAAAUAAGGCUUUCUCUUCGGAGACAAGGUGACAGGUGCUGCAUGGCUGUCGUCAGCUCGUGUCGUGAGAUGUUUGGUUAAGUCCAGCAACGAGCGAAACCCCUAUCUUUAGUUAUUAACAGGUCAAGCUGAACACUCUAGAGAAACUGCCGGUGUUAAACCGGAGGAAGGUGGGGAUGACGUCAAGUCAGCAUGGUCCUUAUAUCUAGGGCUACACACGUGCUACAAUGGUAACUACAAUGGGCUGCUAAACUGCAAAGUCAAGCUAAUCCCUUAAAGGUUAUCUCAGUUCGGAUUGUAGUCUGCAACUCGACUACAUGAAGUCGGAAUCGCUAGUAAUCGCGGAUCAGAAUGCCGCGGUGAAUACGUUCCCGGGUCUUGUACACACCGCCCGUCACACCACGAAAGUUGAUAUUGGCAGAAGAGGCUAAGCUAACCGCGAGGAGGCAGGU